ensembl:snRNA
GUGUUGUAUGAAAGGAGAGAAGGUUAGCACUCCCCUUGACAAGGAUGGGAAAGGCCCUUGGGCCUAACAACACAAUAUAUGGUUAAGGCAUUGCCACCUACUUUAUGGCAUCUAACCACUGUUUUUU